UCGCCGUGCCACGUGAAGCAUGUCUGCUACGAGCUCCCUCCUCUCUCUCUCUCUCUCUCUCUCUCUUCCAUUAUUCCCGUUGCACCGGCCACCUCUCGUCUGCUCAUGGCGCCGCCACACCCAACCUCCGCUCCAACGCUGCGCCUGUGACCGAGGCGACGGCUGGAGCGCUUGUCCUCUUCCACUACGGCGGCCAAAGUGCCAAACCACCCGGAUCCGGCGUCAUCUUCCACUCCGGCGGCCAGAUCAGUUCGAGUUUGGGCAACACGAGAUCUUCCGAGGAUGCGGUCCUCGUCCACGGAUCUGGCCGUGAGAAAUCAUUUUCUUCAUUGUUUCCGUCGAUGCUGUUAUUGAUAGCUAGCUUGGUUAUGUACAAGUUGUGCUGCUGCAGCUCAUGCCCCUGGCAACCAAGGAUCUUGCUGCGUGAAGAGCUUUUCCCUGUUCGUGUUGUUGCAGCACUUGUGUACAAGUGCUACUUCAUGUAGCCUCAAAUCGUGUAACUCUAUUUUUAUCAGGAUGUGAUGCCGAUGUGAACCAUGUACACCUAUCUAUCUUCUGAUUGCAUUAGAGGAGAUAAGUUGACUGUCUAAUGUAAGGUGUGCCACAUGUUUGGUCCUAACGAGUCUUAAAAGAAAUGUUUACAUUGUAAACAGUUUCAUUAUGCUCAAAAUUGGCUAGUGAGAGCAUUUUAUUCA